UCCUCAUCCUCCUCCUCUUCCUCCUCUUCCUCCUCUUCCUCUUCUUCCUCUUCCUCUUCCUCUUCCUCCUCCUCUUCUUCCUCCUCUUCCUCCUCCCCCUCCCCUGCUAAGCCUGGCCCUCAGGCAUUACCCAAACCUGCAAGCCCCAAGAAGCCACCCCCUGGCGAGAGGAGGUGAGUGCUUUCUUGCCUGUUGUGGAAGGGGGGUUGGGGUGAGUUCUCCAGAAAAGGGACCCUGGGUGAGGUUCCUGCUGGGGUGCCUCGAGUGGACGUCUGUGUUUGGUUGUAAGGGAGACGGAGUGCCGGACUCCUCCCAUUCUCCCACAGUGUUGUAUUCUGGUCAAGGGCUGCACUAUCCAACUGAGGUCCCAGGCCAUAUCUUGGGAAGUCAUAGGAUUCUUCUCCCUCUCCCCUCCCCUGACAAGCAGCCUGCUCCCAGAGGUUCUAGCUCUAAGUCUCCCCAUUGCUGCUGCAGGGCUCUGGUCUGGCCACCGUCAUCUCCUCCCGACUCUGUCCACAGCCUCCUCCCUGUCUCCCUGCCUCCACGCCAUUCUCUUCCACACGUAGCCAGAGGGAUCUUUCUAAAACGCACAUCUGGUUACUUCCCUUCACUCCACAAAUCCUUCCGGAACGCCCUGUGGCCUGCAGGAUAAAGUGCCACCUCUGCGGGAAUGGCGUGUGAGGCUCUUCGCCAGCUGCCCUUGCCCGCCCUGUGCUCCUCCUGCCCGCCCCCACACAUGCCCCGUGCUCCGGCCAUACCCAGCGCCUUGCAGUCUAAGGAGAGCCCCAUGCCUUUGGACAUGCUGUUCCUUCUGCCUGGGAUUUCCUUGUCUGCCUGGUGAACUCGUUCUGCAAGACUGCAUUCAAACAGCACCUCCGAGAAGACUGCCCUGCCAUUUCCCUGUCCUGCCCAGGUCCCCAUCCUUGCUCUGGAUCCCCAGGCCCAUGUAUAUCCAUCCUGCUGGGCUGUUUUCUGUGUAGGGGGCAUGUGUGCCUUCAUUGUUGAACUCCAUUACUACCAAACAAAAUUCUUCCAAGGGCAGGGACUCUUUUAUCUUUGCAUCCCCCGCUGCACCCUUGUGCCCUGUCCACUGGGGCACUCGGUGGAUGGUGUGCGGGCGGAUGGGUGAGUGCGGAAAAAGGUGGGUCUGAGGCUGGCCCUGUGUGGUGUGAGGUUUGGUGGUCAGGACCUGGGUGGGUGGUCCUGAAUGCUUGGCUGGUGGGUUUGGGAGGAUGUGGUGCUAUAGAGGCCUACUCUGCUCUCUAGGUCUCGCAGUCCUCGGAAGCCAAUAGACUCCCUUCGGGAUUCCCGAUCCCUCAGUUACUCACCUGUUGAGCGUCGACAGCCCUCACCCCAACCCUCACCAAGGGAUCAACAGAGCAGUGAGCGGGUUUCCUGGAGAGGCCAGCGAGGGGACAGUCAUUCUCCUGGCCACAAGAGGAGGAAGGAGACACCUAGUCCCCGGUCUAACCGUCACCGCUCCUCCAGGUCUCCAUAAUCUGGAUUCCACACCUCAUACUCUGGAGACAUGAGUAUUCCUCAUUUUCCCAGAAGAAUCACGGGAGGAAUCUUGUAUGCCUUCCCUUGAACCUUGGCAGCAUCUUGAGGGGAGAGCUCCCCCCAUCCCCUUUUUUUUGUUCCUGUGAAAUGUUGAUCUCUGUGAGUUUUUCCUGGUUCAUGUGUUUUGGGGGGGUGGAGUGGGAGGGAAUGUUAGUUUAGGGAGGGAAGGGCACAGCUCAGGACAUCUAGGAUUGUGAUGAUCCAGGGAACUAGUCCUCCGAAUUCUAGGGUGACUGAUGGUUUGGGGACUUGGUAAGUCAACACGACUUUGAAGAAGGAGCUGAAGUUGGUUGGCCCUGCUGCACCCCCUUAACAAGGUUGUAAGACCCUCCCCCCCCCAACUUUGUUUCUUAAGGCAUUUUGGUUUUUUAAAAUCUGUACAGCAAAAAGCAACUUUUCUGUCAAAUAAAAAUGAGAAAUG
rnacentral:lncRNA from 1 species